AGCCGGAGCCGGCCCCGGGGAGGGCCGCGGAGCCGGCGCGGCGCUGCGCUGCCAGGCGCGGCCGCGCCGCCCGCCCCGCCGGGGCUGCCCGGGGCCGGGCCGGGCCCCUCCUGGCGCCGCGCCGCCGCCCGGAGCCGCCGCCGCCGCAGCGCCCGAGCCCGGCGCGCAGCUGCGCCCGCCCCCGCCUGCCCCGCGGCCCCGAGCGCGCAGGAACCGGGUCACUGGCCGCGCGGCCGCGGCGGCGCCGCUUUCCCCGUUCUCCUUCGCUGCAGGCAGCCGGGGGGGCUCCGGCUGGGUUGCCGCUGGCAGCCUCGUCCCCUCCUAGCAGCCUUCGCUCUCCGGCUGCGGAAGGUUCUCACUAAGGAGCAGCAGCGGAGCGCCCGGGCGCACAGCGCAGCGCUUGUGCCGCCGUGGGGUUUGGGGCCAGAGCCGGUGGACUGAGAAAAGUAAUGAAAAAGGAAGUCAAUACUCUCAUUGUACUCAAGAAAACUCGACAUUUCAGAAAAUGUUUACUGAAACCGCAUUACUAGAGCUGCUAAAUGGUGACAUAUAACUGGUCGUGUCCAUAAAAAACGAUUUCCUUUUCUAGGAUUGUUUUAAGAAGAGCCUGUCUCUCCCCCCGCGUUCCCGCUGCCUCCCGCGCACCGAGGACACAACCAGAAAUCCACGGGAAGGACUUCAGUGGCUGUUAGCGAGGCAGGACGUAAACCUGUUUCCUUACUUGCAACUUACUUGUUAGGCGCUUGACCCUCCUACUCUCGCAAAAGGCGCCAAGGGGCAGUCCCGCUCCCGGGGCGUGAAGAAGCGCUGGGCGCGACGGGGAGUGCCCUGGAGGUGGGCGCGGGUGCUGCCCCGGCGCGGGGCGCGGGCGGCCGAGGCGUGCGGGGCCGGAGGGAUGGCGAGCCGCCGGGCAGGCGCAGCCCCCGGCCCUGAGGCCGGCUGGCCGGGCUGCGGCAAGAAGUGGGGCAAACCUUGGCGCAGGAGCGGGGCAAGCGAGCCCGGCCCCCGGGAUGGGGCACAGGGACAGGGAGUGACAGUGGCACGGUCAGAGCAGAGGAUGAGGGAAUAUUUGCAGCUGCGUUUGAUCUGACUGGGAGUGACAGAAAUGGAAAAUAAGGCCGAAAGAGAGAAAAUUACUUAGUCUGUGACCAGCAGGUUACCUGGUUAGCAGCCAAGAGGUUAACAACUGCUACUAUGUAUGCUGAUUUUCCUCUGGAAAGCAAUUUAAUGCUCAUAAAAAUGUUAGCUAUGGAAGUCAGUAUACACUGUGGAGAGUUGUGUAGUCUUCACACCGCGGACGCACCCCCUCCCUGCUGCUCCUCUCCUAUUGUCAGCAUUCCCGAAGCCUAGGAAAGACCUGCUAUUCAGAAAUGAGAAAGUAUUUCAGUCCUUACAGCCACCGAAUAGUUGGCCUCAGAGCAAAACUGCUGAUGGAGGCUGCUCGUUCUGCUGGUCGCAGCGGUGUUUUUCUGCAUGCGUUUAGGGUUACAUCUCAAGGACCUGUUUCAACAUGUGGUUGCUGCAGGAUUAACCUCUUCUAAAGUUAGUUUUGAACAUUAACUGUUCAGAUAGCUAAUAUGAUAGCAGAGCCUUCAUUACCACCCAAGAAGACCUCCAGAUCUGUUCAGGGGAAGUGAAAACGCAGGGCUGGCGAGCCAGUCCAGGCACUGAAGGGCCCGUUCAGAGGGACCCACCGCAGUCGCUGCCCGCCACCGCCGGUGCCUUCACCAGCCCUGCCUUCUCCUCGCUCGAGCAGGCGUGGGAACGACCGCAGCCCCACACGGCUGGCAUCGGCUGUCCUGGAGCACGCGCUAAAUUACAGACUGCGAACAAGGCACUCAGUCUAAAUAAAACUGUAUUUGCUGAACGUAAAUGAUGUCGCUACAAACAAUUCAUCCAUGAACUAAACCAGAGACGUCUGGCUGGCUUCCAUCGACGGCUGCCGAAGGGACGGAAAAGUAAAAGGAAGGGACUCGAGAAUGCCUGACUCCACCACAUAUGAUUUCUGGCAGAUAUAUAGCAUCUUUGAAUAAAGACAUCAAUGUACUUUACAAGGAUUGUAGAUGAACCGAAUGUUUUCCAGUCCAUGGAAAAGAAGUUUUUCCAGGGCACGAAUUCCCGAGUUACCCUGUCUUUCAUGGAAACUCUUCACUCUAUAAGAACAAAUAUAAUUCACAGCUUUUAAAAUGGAAAGCAAAUUUUAUCUAUGUUUCAGAACCUGAACUCUGAUGAAACUAAGAUAGCAAGCAUGGAAGUAGUGGAACCUGCACAGAUAAAUGACAUAUUAUGGAUAAUGACUUUCUGAGUUAUCUGGGCUAAUAAUUGACUCCUGGCUUUGCAGUGAACCGAAUACCUGGACAGGAGGGAAAAUCUCGGCUCCUAUGAGCUGAAUAAAAUUUGUUCAUAUUUAUAAAUGUAUUUGUUCAUAUUUAUAAAUGAAGAGAAGUCCCAAAACUCAAUUUCGUUUGAUACAAACUAUUCCAUUUAAUCCUAAACAUGUGUUUGUGUGUAACUGCUGGCCAAAAUAAUCAAA